GGGGAAUAUUGCGCAAUGGGGGGAACCCUGACGCAGCGACGCCGCGUGAAGGAAGAAGGCCUUCGGGUUGUAAACUUCUUUGAUUGGGGAAGAAAAAUGACGGUACCCAAAGAACAAGCCACGGCUAACUACGUGCCAGCAGCCGCGGUAAUACGUAGGUGGCGAGCGUUAUCCGGAAUUGCUGGGUGUAAAGGGCGUGUAGGCGGGGAUGCAAGUCAGAUGUGAAAUUCCGGGGCUCAACCUCGGCACUGCAUCUGAAACUGUGUCUCUUGAGUGCUGGAGAGGAAAGUGGAAUUCCUAGUGUAGCGGUGAAAUGCGUAGAGAUUAGGAGGAACACCAGUGGCGAAGGCGACUUUCUGGACAGCAACUGACGCUGAGGCGCGAGAGCGUGGGGAGCAAAC
rnacentral:rRNA from 1 species